GAUGAACGCUGGCGGCGUGCCUAAUACAUGCAAGUCGAGCGGACGGACAAUUAGCUUGCGCCUCUGACGUUAGCGGCGGACGGACGAGUAACACGUGGAUCACAUCCCUAUAAGACUUGGAUAACUUCGGGAGCCCGGAUCUAAUACCACACCAUACAUUCAACGGCAUAGUUCAAUAGUGAAAGACGGCUUUGCUGUCUCAUUUAGACGCAUCCGCGCCGCAUUAGCUAUUUGGUAAGGUAACGGCAAACCAAGGCAACGAGGCGUAGCCGAACUGAGAGGGUGAGCGGCCACACUGGAACUGAGACACGGUCCAGACUCCUACGGGAGGCAGCAGUAGGGAAUCUUCCGCAAUGGGCGGAAGCCUGACGUAGCGAGGCCGCGUGAGUGACGAAGGCCUUCGGAUCGUAAAGCUCUUUUAUUAGGGAAGAACAAAUGUAUGAGUAACUAGGCACGUCCUGACGGUACCUAAUCAGAAAGCCACGGCUAACUUCGUG
rnacentral:rRNA from 1 species